rnacentral:rRNA from 1 species
UGCGUAGGCGGAUUAUUUAGUCAGUGGUGAAAUCCUGCGGCUUAACCGUAGAACUGCCAUUGAUACUGGUAAUCUUGAAUUUAGUUGAGGUAGGCGGAAUGUGUAAUGUAGCGGUGAAAUGCUUAGAUAUUACACAGAACACCAAUUGCGUAGGCAGCUUACUAAGCUAAUAUUGACGCUGAGGCACGAAAGCGUGGGGAGCGAACAGGAUUAGAUACCCUGGUAGUCC